rnacentral:lncRNA from 12 species
GCAAAAGAGAUGCCAAAUGUGCUGUUUGCCCUUUUUGUUCUUUCCACCACCUGAUCCCUGUCUUGUUAGGCCUCUUGGCUGAAGCAGAAGCUUUGAGGGUGGAAGGGGGUGCAGAAGCAGCCUGUGCCACUUCUCAUGUAUGUUUUUUUACUUAACACAGACUGAUUCUGAAGGUGAAGGGAAAAUGUCAGCUGCUGUCCAGCUUCCCACUGCAAACAGCAACAGGUUGUAUGUUGGCUCUGCUGCCGUGGAAUGUGGCAAAGGUAAUUUCAGAGGGACUACAUGGUUAUCUUUGUGAGCCACUCUGGAGUAAAUCAGAUGCAGAAAAUCAAAGAAAAAUAAAUACUCAUAGCUAUUAUGCACUUAUCUUUUCUUAGGGGUCUUGAAACAAGCAUGUAGAGAAGGGAUGAAGCAAGAUGGAGUCUUGCAGCCAGCAGGGGGAGAAGCAAAAGACGAAGACAACGAUUCUCCCUGGGAUUCUGAGGUACUUUCUCUGAGGCAGACAGUGGGGGGGGGGGGGGGGGGGGGGGGGGGGGGGGGGGGGGGGGGGGGGGGGGGGGGGGGGGGGGGAAUCAGAUGCAGAAAAUCAAAGAAAAAUAAAUAUUCAUAGCUAUUAUGUGCUUAUAUUUUCUUAGGGGUCUUGAAACAAGCAUGUAGAGAAGGGAUGAAGGAAGAUGGAGUCUUGCAGCCAGCAGGGGGAGAAGCAAAAGACGAAGACAACGAUUCUCCCUGGGAUUCUGAGACUGAUUCUGAAGGUGAAGGGAAAAUGUCAGCUGCUGUCCAGCUUCCCACUGCAAACAGCAACAGGUUGGAUGCUGGCUCUGCUGCAGUGGAAUGUGGCAAAGGUAAUUUCAGAGGGACUACAUGGUUAUCUUUGUGAGCCUCUCUGGAGUAAAUCAGAUGCAGAAAAUCAAAGAAAAAUAAACACUCAUAGCUAUUAUGCACUUAUCUUUUCUUAGGGGUCUUGAAACAAGCAUGUAGAGAAGGGAUGAAGGAAGAUGGAGUCUUGCAGCCAGCAGGGGGAGAAGCAAAAGACGAAGACAACGAUUCUCCCUGGGAUUCUGAGGUACUUUCUCUGAGGCAGACAGUGGAGGUCCUUCUGAUCCAUCUGCUUCACUUUCCUUUGCUG